rnacentral:rRNA from 1 species
AGAGUUUGAUCCUGGCUCAGGACGAACGCUGGCGGCGUGCCUAAUACAUGCAAGUCGAGCGAGCAAUUUUGACAGAAUACUUCGGUAGGAAGUCAGAAGCGCGAGCGGCGGAUGGGUGAGUAACACGUGGGCAACCUGCCCUUUAGCUUGGGAUACCACUUGGAAACAGGUGCUAAUACCAAAUAAGCAGCAAGAGCGCAUGCUCAAGCAGUAAAAGGCGGCUUUCGAGCUGUCACUAAAGGAUGGG